rnacentral:lncRNA from 1 species
AUGGGUUCCCUCCUUAUUUUCCCUCUUCUAUUUUGCCAAACCCGCCAAAAUCUUUUCCUUAAUAUUUUUUUUACUCUUAUUUCUUAUUGAAAAUAUAAAAUAUCAGCUUUUUCAUUCCCUAAACAACAUGUACUCUAUCAGACCCUAAACCCACUUCCUCUCUCCCUAACUCACGCUAAUUAUUUCGCAAUUUCAUCUCCUCCCAAUUUCACUCCCAAUUUCGCUCUCUCUCAUCCAAAUUUGUAACAUAAACACUGCAAUGAGGGUUCUUAGCUAUGGGUGGAAUUUAGCUUUGUAAAAUUAAAUACCCAAUAGAUUCAUAAAGUAGCAGAAUCGUGGGGUCUCAAAAUCAGUUAGAAAUCAAUAGUUGAGAUUUUGCAAAGUGUAUUCGCAGAGACAAAAAGGUUGGGAUCUCUUUCUACCAUCAGCGUAUGUUUUCCUAUUUUUGGCUAGUUUCAGAUUUUCAUUUUUCUUUGUGAUUUUUGUUUGCAUGCACACAAAUUGGUGGUCUUACUUUUUUAUUUUAAUUUUAUAUGCAUUUUCUUUAUGAGAGUCUUUAAUUUAUUCAGUAACUACAAUUAGAAGCGAGUUUUCUGUUGGCAGAUUCUCCGGAAAAGAUCGAUUCCUUGAGCGUGUUCACAUAAUUAGUUUCUCAGUUAGCUUCAAUCGCGAGAAAUUAUUUUUCCAAAAGGCACACUGUGAGAAAUCGCUAGCUGAAGAAGUUGUAAGUUCUUAUUUUCUUAUUUAGAUAUAUUGGUUUUCUUUAUUCUUUAGUCUUUUGGGUAUCAGUGGUGUAUAUGUUGCUUUAGAUUUAUGAUUUGAACCGAAACUGGUAUGCUAGGCUUUGAAUCGUUUGUUCUUUCAAAACAAAAAGGAAUCAUUUUCCAUUUUUUAGGUACAGGGUAAAAGGGUUUCAUUAUUUACUGCUUUUAACUUAUGUGGUUCAUGUGGAUCAAGAUAAGAAUGUAUCUGUUAGUUCUAUUUAGUUGCAAUAAACUAAAUAUAUGAUGCUUGCAUAGAAGGAAAAAAAAC